UUAAAGAGACACUGUCCAAAAACCAAGUACAGGAUCUGGUAGAUUUUCUCUUCCAAAAUAGAAAACCUAAUCGGUUGCUUCUCCAAGCUUGGACCAUCCUUCACCGAUGUCAACAAUUAGAAAAGCCACUAUAGGAAGCCUGACACCCUUAAUAUUUAGCAUAAUGAAAGCUCAAAUGAGGCCAUAAAGAAAUCUAUCUAGCAUCAACGCAACAAACCUCGGGUUGCAGAAGACUCUCCACGAAGGAACAACUCUGCAUGUAAUAAACCACCACAGGGACAAUCUUCCGCUGGGUUCCCUCUCCAUGAAAGAAUGGGCAAGCAACCCAAAACAAAACUAAAAAACAACUAUUUGGGUAGGGAGGGAAGAAACCCCUGCCCGAAUGGGGCAAGGGACAGCCACUAACGGUAGAGAAAGGAGCUGGUCUCCUAGAUGAAAAGAAAGGAAAAAUGAGGGAACUUUCUCUCUCUAUUAUUUUAGAGAGAGAGAGUUAAUUAACUCAUAAGUUUCUUAGACCACUGACAAACACCGAAUCAAAUUUCUCCAUCUCAUGCUUCUUUAGAACUAAACCAACCUCAACUCCGCCACUCCCAUCUUUGCUCUCCGCUAUGGAAAUGGAUUCCUCCCUGUCUAUGGAUGUAAUUUCCACCUUCUUUGGCUUUCCCCACCCAAAAUCUGUCCCAUAAACCUCGAAUCGAGGUGACCCAGCAACCCCAAUGCCUAUUGCUGUAGCUCCUGGCCCCAUAACUUCCAAAUAGAUUGCAAGCCUUUCCUUCUCUCUUUCGCUUAUCACUCCUUUCUCUAACCCUUUUAUCCUCUCGCUAAGCUUCUCUGCAGCAAAGGCAACCCCAUCAUCUCCAAGAAGAGCUUCUGCGUCUGUAAAUAUAGGGAGGCCUUUGACACAGUUACCAAAAUAAUUGGGAGGUAUUGGAGGGUCCAAACGGGCUCUACAAUCUGCUGCGAAUGCAAAAACAAUCUUUGUCUUCCUUUCGGGCAUUCGCGCUUUCACGAUACAAACCAAAGUAUAAGCAAAUGAGAGAGCAAAAGUUGAAAAAUGCGUUGAUUUAAUUUGAUUCGAAUCUUCUUCAUGGAGGCCUUCCAAUUGAUAGAUUACCUUUCGCCUGAGUUUCUGUAUAUCUUCUCGAGAAAACUCGAACGUUGAUCGUACUGAGUUGGGUGGAACUCCUUUACCCUGAAAUAGCUUUAAACUCUUAGGAUUAAUGGUAUUCAAACCUGGCAAUUUGGCUUCCAACCAGUUGUUCAAGUAAAUCAUGGAAAGACCUUCUGGGUCCUGAAUGAGACUUCUAUCGAGAACCGGAAUUAGCUCAGGUAAUAAAGAUGGGUUGGUCUCUG
rnacentral:misc_RNA from 1 species